rnacentral:rRNA from 1 species
CCUACGGGUGGCAGCAGUGGGGAAUAUUGCACAAUGGGGGCAACCCUGAUGCAGCGACGCCGCGUGAGUGAAGAAGUAAUUCGUUAUGUAAAGCUCUAUCAGCAGGGAAGAAAAUGACGGUACCUGAGUAAGAAGCCCCGGCUAACUACUUGCCAGCAGCCGCGGUAAUACGGAGGGGGCAAGCGUUAUCCGGAUUUAGUGGGUGUAACGGGAGCGUAGACGGCAGUGCAAGUCUGGAGUGAAAGGCGGGGGCUCAACCCCCGGACUGCUCUGGAAACUGGACGGCUGGAGUGCAGGAGAGGUAAGUGGAAUUCCUGGUGUAGCGGUGAAAUGCGUAGAUAUUAGGAGGAACACCAGUGGCGAAGGCGGGUUACUGGACUGUAACUGACGCUGAGGCUCGAAAGCGUGGGGAGCGAACAGGAUUAGAUACCCUUGUAGUC